AGAGUUUGAUCCUGGCUCAGAACGUACGCUGGCGGCACGCCUAACACAUGCAAGUCGAACGAAGUAGCAAUACUUAGUGGCAGACGGGUGAGUAACAUGUGGGUAUCUACCCUUUGGCCUGGAAUAACACGAGGAAACUUGUGCUAAUACCGGAUAAGUCUUUACGGAGAAAGCUUUAUGCACCAUUGGAUGAGCCUGCACUUGAUUAGUUUGUUGGUAGGGUAAUGGCCUACCAAGACUAUGAUCAAUAGCUGAUUUGAGAGGAUGAUCAGCCACAUUGGGACUGAGACACGGCCCAAACUCCUACGGGAGGCAGCAGUGGGGAAUCUUGCACAAUGGAGGAAACUCUGAUGCAGCGAUGCCGCGUGAGUGAAGAAGGCCCUUGGGUUGUAAAGCUCUUUCGUCGGGGAAGAAGAUGACUGUACCCGAAUAAGAAGGUCCGGCUAACUUCGUGCCAGCAGCCGCGGUAAUACGAAGGGACCUAGCGUAGUUCGGAAUUACUGGGCUUAAAGAGUUCGUAGGUGGUUGAAAAAGUUGGUGGUGAAAUCCCAGAGCCUAACUCUGGAACUGCCAUCAAAACUUUUCAGCUAG
rnacentral:rRNA from 1 species